rnacentral:rRNA from 1 species
CUUUCGAAAGAAAGAUUAAUACCCGAUGGUAUCUUAAGCGCACAUGCAAAUAAGAUUAAAGAUUUAUCGGUAAGCGAUGGGGAUGCGUUCCAUUAGAUAGUAGGCGGGGUAACGGCCCACCUAGUCUUCGAUGGAUAGGGGUUCUGAGAGGAAGGUCCCACACAUUGGAACUGAGACACGGUCCAAACUCCUACGGGAGGCAGCAGUGAGGAAUAUUGGUCAAUGGGCGAGAGCCUGAACCAGCCAAGUAGCGUGAAGGAUGACUGCCCUAUGGGUUGUAAACUUCUUUUAUAAAGGAAUAAAGUCGGGUAUGCAUACCCGUUUGCAUGUACUUUAUGAAUAAGGAUCGGCUAACUCCGUGCCAGCAGCCGCGGUAAUACGGAGGAUCCGAGCGUUAUCCGGAUUUAUUGGGUUUAAAGGGAGCGUAGAUGGAUGUUUAAGUCAGUUGUGAAAGUUUGCGGCUCAACCGUAAAAUUGCAGUUGAUACUGGAUAUCUUGAGUGCAGUUGAGGCAGGCGGAAUUCGUGGUGUAGCGGUGAAAUGCUUAGAUAUCACGAAGAACUCCGAUUGCGAAGGCAGC